CAGCAGCCACGGUAAUACGAAGGGGGCUAGCGUUGUUCGGAUUAACUGGGCGUAAAGGGCGCGUAGACGGGUUUUUAAGUCAGAGGUGAAAUCCCAAGGCUCAACCUUGGAACUGCCUUUGAUACUGGAAGUCUUGAGUCCGGGAGAGGUGAGUGGAACUGCGAGUGUAGAGGUGAAAUUCGUAGAUAUUCGCAAGAACACCAGUGGCGAAGGCGGCUCACUGGCCCGGUACUGACGCUGAGGCGCGAAAGCGAGGGGAGCAAACAGGAUUAGAUACCCCCGUAGUCCCUGUCUCUUAUAA
rnacentral:rRNA from 1 species